UACGUAGGUGGCAAGCGUUGUCCGGAUUUACUGGGCGUAAAGAGCGCGCAGGCGGUCGUUCAAGUCGCGUGUGAAAGCCCCCGGCUCAACUGGGGAGGGUCACGCGAUACUGAUCGACUGGAAGGCAGGAGAGGGUAGUGGAAUUCCCGGUGUAGUGGUGAAAUGCGUAGAUAUCGGGAGGAACACCAGUGGCGAAGGCGACUACCUGGCCUGUUCUUGACGCUGAGGCGCGAAAGCUAGGGGAGCAAACGGGGAU
rnacentral:rRNA from 1 species